rnacentral:rRNA from 1 species
GACGAACGCUGGCGGCGUGCUAAACACAUGCAAGUCGAACGGAAAGGCCCUGCUUUUGUGGGGUGCUCGAGUGGCGAACGGGUGAGUAACACGUGAGUAACCUGCCCUUGACUUUGGGGUAACUUCAGGAAACUGGGGCUAAUACCGGAUAGGAGCUCCUGCUGCAUGGUGGGGGUUGGAAAGUUUCGGCGGUUGGGGAUGGACUCGCGGCUUAUCAGCUUGUUGGUGGGGUAGUGGCUUACCAAGGCUUUGACGGGUAGCCGGCCUGAGAGGGUGACCGGCCACAUUGGGACUGAGAUACGGCCCAGACUCCUACGGGAGGCAGCAGUGGGGAAUAUUGCACAAUGGGCGGAAGCCUGAUGCAGCAACGCCGCGUGCGGGAUGACGGCCUUCGGGUUGUAAACCGCUUUCGCCUGUGACGAAGCGUGAGUGACGGUAAUGGGUAAAGAAGCACCGGCUAACUACGUG